UGGGGAAUAUUGGGCAAUGGGCGAAAGCCUGACCCAGCAACGCCGCGUGAAUGAUGAAGGCCUUCGGGUUGUAAAAUUCUUUGGACAGGGACGAAGAAAGUGACGGUACCUGUAGAACAAGCCACGGCUAACUACGUGCCAGCAGCCGCGGUAAUACGUAGGUGGCGAGCGUUAUCCGGAUUUACUGGGCGUAAAGGGCGUGUAGGCGGCUAGAUAAGUGUGAUGUUUAAAUCCAAGGCUUAACCUUGGGGUUCAUUACAAACUGUUUAGCUUGAGUGCUGGAGAGGAUAGUGGAAUUCCUAGUGUAGCGAUAAAAUGCGUAGAUAUUAGGAGGAACACCGGUGGCGAAGGCGGCUAUCUGGACAGUAACUGACGCUGAGGCGCGAAAGCGUGGGGAGCAAACAGG
rnacentral:rRNA from 1 species